AGCAGCCGCGGUAAUUCCAGCUCCAAUAGCGUAUAUUAAAGUUGUUGCAGUUAAAAGCUCGUAGUUGAAUUUCGGGAUUGACGUGAUGGUCAUGCCUUAAGGGGUAUGAACUGUUACUGUUGAUUUCUCACCUUCUGGAGAAACUUGAUGUCCUUUAUUGGGUGUCUUGCGGAUCCAGGACCUUUACCUUGAAAAAUUGAGUGUUUAAAGCAGGCAUUUUUGCUCGAAUACAUUAGCAUGGAAUAAUAGAAUAGGACGGCAUGGUUCUAUUUUGUUGGUUUCUAGGAUCACCGUAAUGAUUAAUAGGGAUAGUUGGGGGCAUUAGUAUUCAAUUGUCAGAGGUGAAAUUCUUGGAUUUAUUGAAGACUAACUACUGCGAAAGCAUUUGACCAGGAUGUUUUCAUUAAUCAAGAACGAAAGUUAGGGAUCGAA
rnacentral:misc_RNA from 1 species